rnacentral:rRNA from 1 species
AACGAACGCUGGCGGCAUGCCUAACACAUGCAAGUCGAACGUGAUCCGGGGCUUGCUCCGGUGAAAGUGGCGGACGGGUGAGUAACGCGUGGGAACCUGCCCUUUGGUCGGGGAUAACUGCGGGAAACUGCGGCUAAUACCCGAUGUACCCGAGAGGGGAAAGAUUUAUCGCCGAAGGAUGGGCCCGCGUCGGAUUAGGUAGUUGGUGGGGUAACGGCCUACCAAGCCUUCGAUCCGUAGCUGGUCUGAGAGGAUGAUCAGCCACACUGGGACUGAGAUACGGCCCAGACUCCUACGGGAGGCAGCAGUGGGGAAUAUUGGACAAUGGGCGCAAGCCUGAUCCAGCAAUGCCGCGUGGGUGAUGAAGGUCUUCGGAUUGUAAAACCCUGUCGCCAGGGACGAAGGGUGGGCGUGAAUAGCGUUCUACUUUGACGGUACCUGGAAAGGAAGCCCCGGCUAACUCUGUG